CCAAGCCCAGGUGUGAUCCGAUUCUUCCAGUGCACCAAGAGUACAUAAAUGGAAGUCUCACCCCCUCAAGUGGAUUCUCUGUACUGUAGCUGGCUCAAGAAAGGAGAAGGGGCUUUGUCAAGUAAAACUGGCUGAUUGGUUCCACAUCUAUAAAACAGAAAAUGCAAAUAUUAAAUAUCUAUUUGGCCUUCCUCAUCAUGGAUACAAUGACGGUAAAAGGUAACUUCACAGGAUUAAAUAGCUUGAAAACAAAGUGUCGAGAAAAUGAAGACACUUUUAAUAUCAUCAUUGUGAUCUUCAAUCAAGAAACAUUUCUCUUUUUUCAAUUUGCAACUGGAAUCUUAUUCUCACAUGAAACUUGCACUAUUAGUGCAAAGUUGUGCUUCAUUGUUAAAAUGAACAAAAGCAAUUACAUUGUGCUGUAAGGAAAUAUGCUUGGUCCUUGAUCAGAAGUAAUUCUGUCAGUAUAACACGUGCUGAAAGGCAGCAAAGGUUGGCCUCUCAAGGUCACUACUCCAGACACUUACCCAGUACUAUUGAGGUAACUCUGUCCCAAGCUGCAAUCCUUUGACAGAGAGGAUGGAUUGAACCAAAAUGCCGGCAGGCACUGGCCAUUGCUGUGUCGCUCAUAACCAUAGUCGCUGUUAGGAAAGAGCCGAGAAAAACCUUUCACUAGGUGGCAAAAUUACUGAAAACAAUUCUACAUCAGUCCACAGCCAAGUUCCACACUAAUCAAUUAGUCAUAACAAACAAAAAUAAAAACAAAAAAAAAAAACACAAGCAUUCCCUGAAUCAAUGACUUCUCAAAAAUAGAACUUUUUUCAUAGAAUAUCUAUCAAUUAAUUAUUCAGGAAAAUAUCCUACACAACUGGUCAUUCCAUUUAAACACUCUCAAGCUGAGAGAGUAGAUUGUGCUCUCAUUAGAACGAUACACAAUACAGGUGGCUGGGCCCAGAGAAAGCUGUAAUGAGAAAACGGGUGUGGUGGAACUCAACCCUUGGUGAGAAAUUCAUCGCAGAGUUUAACACGGCCACAUGUGGCACAGUCCUCAUUACUGGUGAUGUCUUUGGGAUGCUCUUCCAAGACAUCUGGAUCUACCAAGAGAACUGAGCCAGGUCUCUCUGUGUACACUCCAUAUGCUUCAAAGUUACAGCCAAAAAGGAAAUGUCCUUCAGGAGUGUCUCGAGCAUUCCCCUAAGGAAAUGUUUCACACUAGGCAGUUAGCGCUGCCACUUGGGACUAACUGUUUUAAAUCCUCUCUCUACUUCGGAAAUAGCCAAAGACUUCCCUCUCAGCCUCCUCUCAUUCAUGCUUCCAGGAGCCUCUGAGUUGCCUGAUAUUCUUGGCAACUGGCAGAUGAACCUGGGCACAGAGAAUGACAACAAAUUGCACCUCCACAUGCACAGACAAAUUGCAGGCAGCAAUCGGCAAGCAUUAGUAUGAACUGGCCCAUCUGUGUAAUGGAGGUGAGAUGCUGGCACACAAGGGUCAGUAAGGGAGAAAUAGGCUCAGCUCAGGGGCCUGUCACCAGGCAGCUGGUACUUAGAAUUUUGCACAUACCAGCAGGAUUUGGUGCUGGUUCAAUGCAGCAUGGGUAGGAAGACUUCAGAAUUGCUGCCUAUAGGACAACCAGUGUUUGCUUCAGGAAGUUACUUUACGAAUGCUGGAGAGGGACAGGCAAGGUCAUUUGGGGGACUGUCCAGGAGAGGGCCAAACCAAGGAGAAACACUCAGUGACAAUCACCUUUCAUUACACUACAGCCAGGUGUAAUCACCGAAACUCCAGCUACCGGUAGAACCCCAACAAGGUUGUGAUGAGCCUUCCCAAAUAUUUUCAGAAAUCAUGCAGUGACAGAAAUCCCACUGGACCAGAAAACCUUACAAUGAACUCCUUCAUGAUUCAUUUCCCACUUCUCAGAAUGCAUUUCAGCUGGUGGGAUGAGUAGCCGAUUCCAAUCACAAAUGAAUGCAGGGAUUGGGCCAAGACUAAGGGGCACGAGAGACACGGGAGAGGAGAAAUCUAAUUGCCUUCCUUAUCUGGUAUUCCUUUCAUUCUGGACUAGCUUACAAUUGAAAAAGAAAAACAA
rnacentral:lncRNA from 1 species